AGAGUUUGAUCCUGGCUCAGAACGAACGCUGGCGGCAGGCCUCAAACAUGCAAGUCUAGGGGGUGUAGCAAUACAUCACCGGCGGACGGGUGCGUAACACGUGGGAAUAUACCUUUCGGUACGGAACAACUGCGGGAAACUGCAGCUAAUACCGUAUACGUCCUAGCGGAGAAAGAUUUAUCGCCGAAGGAUUAGCCCGCGUUCGAUUAGCUAGUUGGUGGGGUAAUGGCCCACCAAGGCGACGAUCGAUAGCUGUUCUGAGAGGAAGAUCAGCCACACUGGGACUGAGACACGGCCCAGACUCCUACGGGAGGCAGCAGUUGGGAAUCUUGGACAAUGGGGGAAACCCUGAUCCAGCCAUGCCGCGUGAGUGAUGAAGGCCUUCGGGUUGUAAAACUCUUUCGACGGGGACGAUAAUGACGGUACCCGUAGAAGAAGCUCCGGCUAACUUCGUGCCAGCAGCCGCGGUAAUACGAAGGGGGCUAGCGUUGUUCGGAAUUACUGGGCGUAAAGCGCGCGCAGGCGGCUAUCCAAGUCAGUGGUGAAAGCCCGGAGCUCAACUCCGGAACUGCCAUUGAAACUGUUUAGCUUGAGGACGAGAGAGGUGAGUGGAAUUCCCAGUGUAGAGGUGAAAUUCGUAGAUAUUGGGAAGAACACCAGUGGCGAAGGCGGCUCACUGGCUCGUUUCUGACGCUCAGGCGCGAUAGCGUGGGGAUCAAACAGGAUUAGAUACCCUGGUAGUCCACGCCGUAAACGAUGAAUGCUAGCCGUUGGGCAGCUUGCUGUUCAGUGGCGCAGCUAACGCAUUAAGCAU
rnacentral:rRNA from 1 species